rnacentral:rRNA from 1 species
CCUACGUGAGGCAGCAGUGAGGAAUAUUGGUCAAUGGACGAGAGUCUGAACCAGCCAAGUAGCGUGAAGGAUGACUGCCCUAUGGGUUGUAAACUUCUUUUAUAAAGGAAUAAAACGAGGCACGUGUGCCUUUUUGCAUGUACUUUAUGAAUAAGGAUCGGCUAACUCCGUGCCCGCAGCCGCGGUAAUACGGAGGAGACGAGCGUUAUCCGGAUUUAUUGGGUUUAAAGGGAACGUAGAUGGGUUGUUAUGUCAGUUGUGAAAGUUUGGGGCUAAACCGGAAAAUUGAAAGUGAUACUGGCAGUCUUGAGGACAGUUGAGGUAGGCGGAAUUCGUGGUGUAGCGGUGAAAUGCUUAGAGAUCACGAAGAACCCCGAUUGCGAAGGCAGCUUACUAAAAUGUGACUGACAUUGAUGCUCGAAAGUGUGGGUAUCAAACAGGAUUAGAUACCCCAGUAGUC